GCUGGGUGCCGUGGUGCACACCUGUAAUCCCAGCCGCUUGGGAGGCUGAGGCAGGAGGAUCGAAAGUUCAAAGGCAACCUUAGCAACUUAGCGAGGCCCUAAACAACUCAGCAAGACCUGUCUCUA
rnacentral:sRNA from 1 species